UACGUAGGUGGCAAGCGUUGUCCGGAAUUAUUGGGCGUAAAGAGCGCGCAGGCGGUCUAUCAAGUCAGAUGUGAAAUAUCCCGGCUUAACCGGGAGGGGUCAUUUGAAACUGGUAGACUAGAGUACAGCAGAGGAUAGUGGAAUUCCCGGUGUAGUGGUGAAAUGCGUAGAUAUCGGGAGGAACACCAGUGGCGAAGGCGACUAUCUGGGCUGAAACUGACGCUGAGGCGCGAAGGCUAGGGGAGCAAACGGG
rnacentral:rRNA from 1 species